GCCCACUGCAAGAGCCUUCUACCAAUCAGCUGAUCCACUUUUUCCCGCUGCUGGAUGACUGAACCAAUGGACAGCUGACCCAGUAGAAGCUGUCACCAGGCAGAAGAACACCUGAACCACCUGAAACCGGAUUCUCCUCAGAUGGCGCCUCCUGUCCAGAAACUGAGGACUGAGGAACUUUCAGCUUGAGCUUGCCAGGAUAGUCACCGAUGACUUCAGGUUUCCCGCUGCAAGAGCCUUCUACCAAUCAGCUGAUCCACUUUUUCCCUCUGCUGGAGGACUGAACCA